ensembl:lncRNA
AAACUUGGCAACAAGCAUUGGUUCAUCAAUGAAAUCCUUUACUAGUUUAUUCUGACAGUUUCUAACUCUCUGAGAGGCUCUAAGCUAUUUGAAUAUCUUAAGCUUCCCGUGCCUCUUGAGGCUGGGAGACUGUAAACAAUCGUAUGCAUAGCUGUAGGAGUCCGGGUAAACUUGUCAGGUAAGUUAGAGAACCAUCUGAGGGGUUUGGAUUUAAACACUCCUAAUUGCCCAGGAACUUUAUUAAUUGGAGCUGUAAGUUAACUCUUUGACAGAGAGCGAGAGAUGGUGGUAGGGGACAGCCCCAAGUAAAGUCAGAGACCUAGGACCCACCUACUUCUGCCUCCAACCCUGUACAUUACAGAUCAAGCGUGAAGCCUGUUCCUACCUUCACUCAUUCCUCUCAGACCUUCUCCUGGACCUAAAAAUAAGGAACUACAACUUGUGCGUGCAAUGUUCUCUGAACCUCCUUAUGGACCAAGGAAGAGCAUAACCCUGCACUGACUUCAUUUUCAUUCACAGUCUCAAAGAACAGUUUAUACAACCAACUCAUGCCUUUCCCAAAUUUACUAUAAGACUAGAUUAAGUCACUGAAAAAAAUUACCAAAGUA